rnacentral:rRNA from 1 species
UCGCCUGUUUAACAAAAACAUAGCUUUAUGAAAAUUUAUAUAAAGUUUUACCUGCUCAAUGAUAAUUUAAAUGGCCGCAGUACUUUGACUGUGCUAAGGUAGCAUAAUAAAUUGACUUUUAAUUAAGGUCUAGAAUGAAAGGAUAUAUGAAUAUUUACUGUCUUUAAAAAAUUUAUAUUAACUUUCUUAAAAGGUGAAAAUUCCUUUAAGUAAAUUUAAAAGACGAGAAGACCCUAGGAGUUUAAAAUAAAUAAUUAUUUUGUUGGGGCAACAUUAUAGUAAUUAAACCUAUAAUUUAAUAUUAAUUAUAAAACUAUGUUUUUAAUUGUAAAUAAGCUACCCUAGGGAUAACAGCAUAAUUUAUAUUAUUGAUAAGUUUGUGACCUCGAUGUUGGAUUAGGGACUGUUAGUAAUAAGUUUACCUAUUGACUUGUUCUGUUCGAACAUUUUAUACCUACGUGAUCUGAGUUCAGACCGGA